rnacentral:rRNA from 1 species
UAAUACCGCAUGACACCGUGGGGACUUCGGUCCUGCGAUCAAAGCUGGCCUCUGUUUACAAGCUAGCGCCACGGAUGGGCCCGCGCCCCAUUAGCUAGUUGGUGAGGUAACGGCUCACCAAGGCGACGAUGGGUAGCCGGCCUGAGAGGGCGAUCGGCCACACUGGAACUGCGACACGGUCCAGACUCUACGGGAGGCAGCAGUGAGGAAUAUUGCGCAAUGGGCGAAAGCCUGACGCAGCGACGCCGCGUGGAGGAUGAAGGUCUUCGGAUUGUAAACUCCUGUCGAGUGGGACGAAUGCCGUGAGGGUGAAUACCCCUCGCGGUUGACGGUACCGCUGGAGGAAGCCCCGGCUAACUCCGUGCCAGCAGCCGCGGUAAUACGGAGGGGGCUAGCGUUGUUCGGAAUCAUUGGGCGUAAAGGGCGCGUAGGCGGCCGAUCAAGUCGGAGGUGAAAUCCCUCGGCUCAACUGAGGAAUUGCCUUCGAUACUGUUCGGCUUGAGUCCUGGAGAGGGUAGCGGAAUUCCCGGUGUAGCGGUGAAAUGCGUAGAGACCGGGAAGAACACCAGUGGCGAAGGCGGCUACCUGGACAGGUACUGACGCUGAAGCGCGAAAGCUAGGGGAGCAAACAGGAUUAGAUACCCUGGUAGUCCUAGCUGUAAACGAUGGGCACUUGGUGUUGCGGGUAUCGACCCCUGCAGUGCCGAAGCUAAC